GACGAACGCUGGCGGCGUGCCUAAUACAUGCAAGUUGAGCGCUGAAGGUUGGUACUUGUACCCACUGGAUGAGCAGCGAACGGGUGAGUAACGCGUGGGGAAUCUGCCUUUGAGCGGGGGACAACAUUUGGAAACGAAUGCUAAUACCGCAUAAAAACUUUAAACACAAGUUUUAAGUUCGAAAGAUGCAAUUGCAUCACUCAAAGAUGAUCCCGCGUUGUAUUAGCUAGUUGGUGAGGUAAAGGCUCACCAAGGCGAUGAUACAUAGCCGACCUGAGAGGGUGAUCGGCCACAUUGGGACUGAGACACGGCCCAAACGCCUACGGGAGGCAGCAGUAGGGAAUCUUCGGCAAUGGACGAAAGUCUGACCGAGCAACGCCGCGUGAGUGAAGAAGGUUGUCGGAUCGUAAAACUCUGUUGGUAGAGAAGGACGUUGGUGAGAGUGGAAAGCUCAUCAAGUGACGGUAACUACCCAGAAAGGGACGGCUAACUACGUG
rnacentral:rRNA from 1 species